GUGAGUAAAAGUCGUAACAAGGUCUCCGUUGGUGAACCAGCG
rnacentral:rRNA from 1 species